UACGUAGGUGACAAGCGUUAAUCGGAAUUACUGGGCGUAAAGCGUGCGCAGGCGGCUUUGCAAGACAGAUGUGAAAUCCCCGGGCUUAACCUGGGAACUGCAUUUGUGACUGCAUGGCUAGAGUGCGGCAGAGGGGGAUGGAAUUCCGCGUGUAGCAGUGAAAUGCGUAGAUAUGCGGAGGAACACCGAUGGCGAAGGCAAUCCCCUGGGCCUGCACUGACGCUCAUGCACGAAAGCGUGGGGAGCAAACAGG
rnacentral:rRNA from 1 species